rnacentral:rRNA from 1 species
GGCAAACGUGGUAUCAUAGAAGAUCAUCAUUA